rnacentral:rRNA from 1 species
CUAAGCAUAUCAAUAAGCGGAGGAAAAGAAACUAACAAGGAUUCCCCUAGUAACUGCGAGUGAAGCGGGAAGAGCUCAAAUUUAAAAUCUGGCGUCUUCGGCGUCCGAGUUGUAAUUUAGAGAAGCGUUUUCCGCGCUGGACCGUGUACAAGUCUCCUGGAACGGAGCGUCAUAGAGGGUGAGAAUCCCGUCUUUGACACGGACCCCCAGUGCUCUGUGAUACGCUCUCGAAGAGUCGAGUUGUUUGGGAAUGCAGCUCAAAAUGGGUGGUGAACUCCAUCUAAAGCUAAAUAUUGGCGAGAGACCGAUAGCGAACAAGUACCGUGAGGGAAAGAUGAAAAGCACUUUGGAAAGAGAGUGAAACAGUACGUGAAAUUGUUGAAAGGGAAACGCUUGAAGUCAGUCGCGUUUGCCGGGAUUCAGCCGCAAGGUGUACUUCCUGGUGGACGGGCCAGCAUCACUUUCAGUCAUCGGAAAAGGGCGAGGGGAAUGUGGCACCUCCGGGUGUGUUAUAGCCUCUUGUCGUAUACGGUGAUCGGGAGUGAGGACCGCCUUUGUAGGAUGCUGGCGUAAUGGCUUUAAACGACCCGUCUUGAAACACGGACCAAGGAGUCUAACAUGCCCGCGAGUGUUCGGGUGGAAAACCCGUGCGCGUAAUGAAAGUGAAAGUUGGGAAGGCUGUCGUGGCCUGCACCGACGCCCGGACUUGAGAUUUAUCGAAGGUUCUGCGGUAGAGCGUGUAUGUUGGGACCCGAAAGAUGGUGAACUAUGCCUGAAUAGGGUGAAGCCAGAGGAAACUCUGGUGGAGGCUCGUAGCGAUUCCCACGUGUAACCCCAUCGUCAAAUUUGGGUAUAGGGGCGAAAGACUAAUCGAACCAUCUAGUAGCUGGUUCCUGCCGAA